GCACGAAAGGUGUAACGAUCUGGGCACUGUCUCAACGAGAGACUCGGUGAAAUUAUAGUACCUGUGAAGAUGCAGGUUACCCGCGACAGGACGGAAAGACCCCGUGGAGCUUUACUGCAGCCUGAUAUUGAAUUUUGGUACAGCUUGUACAGGAUAGGUAGGAGCCUGAGAAGCCGGAGCGCCAGCUUCGGUGGAGGCGUUGGUGGGAUACUACCCUGGCUGUAUUGAAAUUCUAACCCGCGCCCCUUAUCGGGGUGGGAGACAGUGUCAGGUGGGCAGUUUGACUGGGGCGGUCGCCUCCUAAAGAGUAACGGAGGCGCCCAAAGGUUCCCUCAGAAUGGUUGGAAAUCAUUCGUAGAGUGUAAAGGCACAAGGGAGCUUGACUGCGAGACCUACAAGUCGAGCAGGGACGAAAGUCGGGCUUAGUGAUCCGGUGGUUCCGCAUGGAAGGGCCAUCGCUCAACGGAUAAAAGCUACCCCGGGGAUAACAGGCUUAUCUCCCCCAAGAGUCCACAUCGACGGGGAGGUUUGGCACCUCGAUGUCGGCUCAUCGCAUCCUGGGGCUGUAGUCGGUCCCAAGGGUUGGGCUGUUCGCCCAUUAAAGCGGUACGCGAGCUGGGUUCAGAACGUCGUGAGAC
rnacentral:rRNA from 1 species